UUGCUGCAGACAAUCAUGCAAAGAAAAAAAGCCCAGAGAAGACCACAUGUUGGCAAAUAGUUAUUUAUUUCAUCACCAAGCACACAUGGAGCAACACUGGCAUUAACGUGGAAUCGUUUCUCUGCCCACACGAUGAAUUGAGCCAGGCCUUGGGCUGCCAGCGGAGGACGUGAAGUCAAGCCAGGGAGCCAAGGCCACUGUCAGCUCUCAGUGGUUAGAAUAACCCAGUAAAAACCUCCUGGGGGCUGUGAUCGGACCGGCGCUGGCAGGGAGAACAAGUGCGAGGGUCUGAAGAGUGUGAUAAGACUUCUAACCUGCAGAUCUAUUCAUCAAAACGGACUUCCUGGAUCGUACAUGAAGCAACACACCCGACCCGAUGCGGCCUCGUUUUUUUUUUUUUUUUUUUCUCCUCUCAGCUUGAAAGGUCUUUUCAUGGGAUUUGUUGACGAUACGCUUAUCUUUGAAUUCUUAAAGACGCAACAGUUCAUCACCCCGGAGCUUGUGAAGCACUUCUUGGCCGAGGGCGACCGAGCGAUAGGAGGAGAAAAUUUGGGGUUUGCUGAGUUCUCUUGCAUGUUGUGUUACAGCUGACCCUGUCCUCAACUUUGACCCGUGACCCCGGCAGAGAUCUGUCAUGAGAGGGAGCUGCUUAACACAAAAUGGAGCCUGGUUCAGGAGUCAGAAGGAGAGCGAGAGACAUGCAGGGAGUGGGGGAGAGAGAGGGCGAGAGAGCUCUGCUGCACACAGAGGACUCAUUUAUCCUCUCUCUCUCUCUCGACUGCACUUUUUUUCUUCCCCUCCUUUGCUUUCUCUUGUUUUCGCUGCACAGAAACUGUUGCCCUUUCUUCCUUUACAUCUCCUCUCUUUCUCUCUUGUCUUUCCUCCCCCUCCCUCCCUCCCUCUGUCUUCUCACCCCUCGUCUGGUUGCUUUUUUUUUUUUUUUUUUUUGGA